UGGGGAAUAUUGCACAAUGGGGGAAACCCUGAUGCAGCAACGCCGCGUGAAGGAAGAAGAUUUUCGGAUUGUAAACUUCUAUCGACAGGGACGAACGAGACGGUACCUGAGUAAGAAGCCCCGGCUAACUACGUGCCAGCAGCCGCGGUAAUACGUAGGGGGCAAGCGUUAUCCGGAAUUACUGGGUGUAAAGGGUGAGUAGGCGGUAAGGCAAGUCAUAUGUGAAAGGCUAAUGCUUAACAAUAGCACUGCAUAAGAAACUACCUAACUAGAGUACAGGAGAGGUAAGCGGAAUUCUCAGUGUAGCGGUGAAAUGCGUAGAUAUUGAGAAGAACACCGGUGGCGAAGGCGGCUUACUGGACUGAAACUGACGCUGAGUCACGAAAGCGUGGGGAGCGAACA
rnacentral:rRNA from 1 species